AAAGAAGCAAAGUGAUGAGCAAUACUUCCAUGAGCCAAUGUGAGCGAGCUGCGUGUGUGCAGUUGUGUGAGAACUGUUUGUGUGAGAAUUGUGUGCCUUGUAAUUGGGCAAUGAUGGCUAAACUGAUAAGAUCUGAUUGCUUC